rnacentral:rRNA from 1 species
GAUGAACGCUAGCGGCAGGCUUAACACAUGCAAGUCGAGGGGUAGAGGCUUUCGGGCCUUGAGACCGGCGCACGGGUGCGUAACGCGUAUGCAAUCUGCCUUUCACAGAGGGAUAGCCCAGAGAAAUUUGGAUUAAUACCUCAUAGCAUAAUCAGACCGCAUGGUUUAAUUAUUAAAGUCACAACGGUGAAAGAUGAGCAUGCGUCCCAUUAGCUAGUUGGUAAGGUAACGGCUUACCAAGGCUACGAUGGGUAGGGGUCCUGAGAGGGAGAUCCCCCACACUGGUACGGAGACACGUACCAGACUCCUACGGGAGGCAGCAGUGAGGAAUAUUGGUCAAUGGGCGCAAGCCUGAACCAGCCAUGCCGCGUGCAGGAGGACGGUCCUAUGGAUUGUAAACUGCUUUUGUACGGGAAGAAACACUCCCUCGUGAGGGAGCUUGACGGUACCGUAAGAAUAAGGAUCGGCUAACUCCGUGCCAGCCGCCGCAGUAAUAC